GUUUGUGAACAGCUGGUCAGGGAGUCGGUAGCGUUACUCCCCUUCUCUCCUCCACCCCGACCUCUCCUCCUCAAAUGAGCGAGUGUGGGAGUGGGUGACACCUUAUCUCAGACCUGGAGAGAUACUGGUCUCCGAGAGUGCUGAGCCGCAGGGGGCGCGGGGGAACCCGGGGGGCGCCGACGGCUCGGCAAAGUUGGGCGUGUGCUUCUGCGCGCCAGCAGCGAGCUAGCAGGCAUCCACUGUGGUUCCCCUCGCACUCUCCCUCCAGAGAAUUCCCCGAGAAGGCGGGCGCCGGCUUCGGGCCCGGGAUAGACCUGCGGCGGCGGCGGGAACGGCCACGCACAGUAUAUCACAGCUGGCAUCCCAAAUUGAUGAGAAUGCUGUACAGGGUCAGCCUUAUAUGUACCAUCCAAUCUCCUGACUGGAACGUCAAAGUCUGGCUGCUGGCAUUCUGGAGUUGAUGGUGGGGAGAUUAGUGAUCUCAGCAUUCAG